ensembl:lncRNA
AUUGAGGACAGGGUGAGGCGGCGGGGGGGUCGGCAGCAGUCUCAGGGUCCUUCAGGAUUUCAUGCAGAGACCUGCGAAUGAGCACUGACGUCUACCUUCAUCUGAGUGUAGAUGAAAGACGCAGGGAAUCACAUAUGGUUCCACACACGUACACCAACACAGACGCUCGUCAUACUUCCCUUUGUUUUGCUAAUGAAAAUCUUUUCCAUCGCUGUCAUCUGCUGCAAGACUGCGAUUGAAGAUAAAAGAAUAUUAACCACAUAAACCUGUAAUAUACCUAUGAAACUAUUAAC